UUCUUUUUUGUUAAUACAGAAUUACAGAUUGUGUUAAUUAAAUUUCAACAUGUCAUCUAAAAUAAUUAAGGCAUUCGUUAAUGGGCUCCAAUAAUAGACACUUUUUUUUUUUUUUUGAUAUGAUAGGCACUGAUCCUUUCCUUUCCUCCUGAUUGGCAAUUUAUCCUGAUAAAUUAUGAUUAAUACCUUUAGAAAUUGAAACAAACACCAAGAAUCAAGUCCUGCAAUACACGAAAUUGUGGCCAUCGUACGUUGAAAACCGGUCGUAACCAGUAGACUGCUAUUUUUCCGAAGCACCUCUCAUCAACAGAUACCUGAGAUUUAUUCUUUUAAUCUAUUAAAAAGUUACAAAAAAGCAGAGUAGCUGAACCCUUGCAUAAUAUAUGAUAUAUCAUGACAUGAUAAUAAUAUAUACAUUAUUCAUACAUUAUGUAUUUUAAAAU
rnacentral:lncRNA from 1 species